CCUACGGGAGGCAGCAGUAGGGAAUAUUGCUCAAUGGGGGAAACCCUGAAGCAGCAACGCCGCGUGGAGGAUGAAGGUUUUCGGAUUGUAAACUCCUUUUGUUAGAGAAGAUAAUGACGGUAUCUAACGAAUAAGCACCGGCUAACUCCGUGCCAGCAGCCGCGGUAAUACGGAGGGUGCAAGCGUUACUCGGAAUCACUGGGCGUAAAGAGCGCGUAGGCGGGAUAGCAAGUCAGAUGUGAAAUCCUAUGGCUUACCCAUAGAACUGCAUUUGAAACUGUUAUUCUAGGGGAUGGUAGAGGGAGGUGGAAUUGUGGGUGGAGGGGUAAAAUCCGAAGAGAUCAAGAGGAAUACUCAUUGCGAAGGCAAGCUGCUAGAACAUAACUGACGCUGAUGGGCGAAAGCGUGGGGAGCAAACAGGAUUAGAUACCCUUGUAGGCC
rnacentral:rRNA from 1 species